GUGCUUGAUUUGGUAGCACAUAUAUAAAUUUGAAAUGAUACAGAGAUUAGCAUGGCCUCUGUGCAAAGACGGCAUGCAAAUUCAUGAAGCAGUUCAUAUUUUG